CGUGGUGAUUUGGGCCGGCCGGCUUGCAGCCACGCU
rnacentral:ncRNA from 1 species